UAGGAUGUGGGUCGGGAAGGCGGGGUAAGGCGGAGGGGGGAGGGGGUGUUGGGAAGCAGGGGGGAUAGAGGGCGCGUGGGCGGGGAGGGAAGGCGGGUGGGAAAGCCCUCGGCUCAACCGAGGAACUGCGGCCGAUACUGCUGUGCUUGGGGGCCGGAGGGGAGAGUGUAAUUCCCUGUGGAGCGGUGAAAGGCGUAGAGAUCGGGAAGAACGCCGGCGGCGAAAGCGACUCUCUGGUCGGUACCUGACGCUGAGGCGCGAAAGCUAGGGGAGCAAACGGGAUUAGAUACCCCAGUAGUC
rnacentral:rRNA from 1 species